UUUGGACAAUGGGCGCAAGCCUGAUCCAGCCAUGCCGCGUGGGUGAAGAAGGCCUUCGGGUUGUAAGGCCCUUUCGGCUGGGACGAAAAGGUCCGUGCUAACACCACGGAUCCAUGACGGUACCAGCAGAAGAAGCACCGGCUAACUACGUGCCAGCAGCCGCGGUAAUACGUAGGGUGCAGGCGUUAAUCGGAAUUACUGGGCGUAAAGCGUGCGCAGGCGGUCUGCUAAGAGAGGUGUGAAAUCCCCGGGCUUAACCUGGGAACUGCGCUUCUAACUGGCAGGCUUGAGUGUGGCAGAGGGGGGUGGAAUUCCACGUGUAGCAGUGAAAUGCGUAGAGAUGUGGAGGAACACCGAUGGCGAAGGCAGCCCCCUGGGCUAACACUGACGCUCAUGCACGAAAGCGUGGGGAGCAAACAG
rnacentral:rRNA from 1 species